rnacentral:rRNA from 1 species
GGCUCUUUGUAGAUAAAUAAAAUAAAGAGUCCGGCCUGCUCAAUGAUGAUUAAUCAUUAAAUAGCUGCGGAAUCCUAACCGUGUGAAAGUAGCAUAAUCAUUUGCCUCUUAAUUGGUGGCUGGAAUGAAUGGUACGAUGAAAAUAGAGCUGUCUCUAUUAUGUUUUAUUGAAAUUACCUUUUAGGUGAAAAGGCCUAAAUAUAUCUAUAAGACAAGAAGACCCUAUCGAGCUUUAAGUUGGUUAUGUAAAUAACUUGAUUAGCUUUUGGUUGGGGCAACCAGGGGGUAAAAGAAAUCCCUCUUUUAUUAAUUUACUUACUAGUAAAGAUCCAGUUAUAUUGAUCAAGGGA